UACGUAGGGGGCUAGCGUUGUCCUGAAUCAUUGGGCGUAAAGAGCGUGUAGGCGGCUCGGUAAGUCCGCUGUGAAAGUCGGGGGCUCAACCCUCGAAUGCCGGUGGAUACUGUCGAGCUAGAGUGCGGAAGAGGCGAGUGGAAUUCCUGGUGUAGCGGUGAAAUGCGCAGAUAUCAGGAGGAACACCAAUGGCGAAGGCAGCACUCUGGGACGUGACUGACGCUGAGACGCGAAAGCGUGGGGAGCAAACAGG
rnacentral:rRNA from 1 species